GGGCGAUUAGUUUAGUGGUAGAACGAUGGUCUCCAAAACCAUUGGUGGGGGUCCGAUUCCUCCAUCGCCCG
rnacentral:tRNA from 1 species